rnacentral:rRNA from 1 species
UUUGAACGCUGGCGGCAGGCCUAACACAUGCAAGUCGAACGAGUGGCGGACGGGUGAGUAAUGUCUGGGAAACUGCCUGAUGGAGGGGGAUAACUACUGGAAACGGUAGCUAAUACCGCAUACCAUCAGAUGUGCCCAGAUGGGAUUAGCUAGUUGGGGGGGUAACGGCUCACCAAGGCCACGAUCCCUAGCUGGUCUGAGCGGAGGACCAGCCACACUGGAACUGAGACACGGUCCAGACUCCGACGCGAGGCAGCAGUGGGGAAUAUGGCACGAUGGGCGCAAGCCUGAUGCAGCCAUGCCGCGUGUAUGAGGAAGGCCUUAGGGUUGUAAAGUACUUUCAGCGGGGAGGCGGUACCCGCAGAAGAAACACCGGCUAACUCCGUGCCAGCAGCCGCGGUAAUUC